UACGGGGGGAGCAAGCGUUGUUCGGAUUUACUGGGCGUAAAGGGCGCGUAGGCGGUCAGCACAAGUCAGUUGUGAAAUCUCCGAGCUUAACUCGGAAGGGUCAACUGAUACUGUGCGACUAGAGUGCGGAAGGGGCAACUGGAAUUCUUGGUGUAGCGGUGAAAUGCGUAGAUAUCAAGAGGAACACCUGCGGCGAAGGCGGGUUGCUGGGCCGACACUGACGCUGAGGCGCGAAAGCUAGGGGAGCGAACGGG
rnacentral:rRNA from 1 species